rnacentral:lncRNA from 1 species
UCUUUUGCAAAGAAAAAGAGAUGAGGGAAUAUAAGCUUUAAGGGUUGAUCAUGUUAGAUGUAUGACUUUGAAAGUCAAUUAUUGGCUGAUAUAAUAAUAUAAUAAUUUCAGGACAUAAAUUUGUAAUUGAUUUAUUCAAAUUAAUAAAAUGGGUAGGUUUUUAUCUAUUCUUGUUAUUGUACCUUGAAUCAUCCAGAGAAUUAAUGCUUAAGAUACAUAUUCUUAAGAGUUAAAAAUUUGAGACAUGUAUAAUUAAUUUUUAAAUUAUUUUCGAUCAUAAACUAUCAAGGAGAUGGUGAUUGAUCCGGUU